rnacentral:rRNA from 1 species
UACGUAGGGUGCGAGCGUUAAUCGGAAUUACUGGGCGUAAAGCGUGCGCAGGCGGUUCUAUAAGACAGAUGUGAAAUCCCCGGGCUCAACCUGGGAAUGGCAUUUGUGACUGUAGGGCUAGAGUACGGUAGAGGGGGAUGGAAUCCCGCGUGUAGCAGUGAAAUGCGUAGAUAUGCGGAGGAACACCAAAGGCGAAGGCAGUGUCCUGGGGAGUACCUGACGCUCAGGUGCGAAAGCCAGGGGAGCGAACGGG